GAUAAAUUUAUUUUUCGUUUUUUCGUAUCCAACGUUUGACCAUUCGUUUUAUUUAAAAAUUUUUUAUAAUUAAUAUUUUUAUUGUUACUAAAUAAUAAAAUAUAAAUAGUAUUUUAUACAUGACUAUUUUUUUUAAAGUUUUUAUAUAAAUUUUUCAAAUAAGACGAAUGGUCAAACGUUAGACACAGAAAAACA
rnacentral:pre_miRNA from 1 species